rnacentral:rRNA from 1 species
CACGUAGGGGGCGAGCGUUGUUCGGAAUUACUGGGCGUAAAGGGCAUGUAGGCGGCUUUGUAAGCUUGGCGUGAAAUUCCACGGCUUAACCGUGGGAAUGCGUUGAGAACUGCGAGGCUUGAGUGACGGAGAGGGAGCUAGAAUUCCUGGUGUAGGGGUGGAAUCUGUAGAGAUCAGGAAGAAUACCAAUGGCGAAGGCAAGCUCCUGGCCGAUGACUGACGCUGAGGUGCGAAAGUGUGGGGAU